GAUGAACGCUAGCGACAGGCUUAACACAUGCAAGUCGAGGGGCAGCAUAUAAAUAGUUUUUUAUUGUGAUGGCGACCGGCGCGCGGGUGAGUAACGCGUAUGCAAUCUACCCAUUACACAGGCAUAGCCCAUGGAAACGUGGAUUAACUCCUGAUAGUAUCUGAAAUUGGCAUCACUUUCGGAUUAAAUAUUCAUAUGUAGUGGCUGAGCAUGCGUCCUAUUAGAUAGUUGGUAAGGUAACGGCUUACCAAGUCAAUGAUAGGUAGGGGUUCUGAGAGGAAGGUCCCCCACACUGGUACUGAGACACGGACCAGACUCCUACGGGAGGCAGCAGUGAGGAAUAUUGGUCAAUGGACGCAAGUCUGAGCCAGCCAAGUCGCGUGAGGGAUGACUGCCCUAUGGGUUGUAAACCUCUUUAGUUCGGGAAGAAACGCACUUACGUGUAAGUGUUUGCCUGCACCGAAAGAAUAAGCAUCGGCUAACUCCGUGCCAGCAGCCGGGGUAAUACGGGGGAUGCGAGCGUUAUCCGGAUUUAUUGGGUUUAAAGGGUGCGUAGGCGGUUAAAUAAGUUAGUGGUAAAAUUUCUAUGCUUAACAUAGUAAAGCCAUUAAAACUGUUUAACUCGAGUACAGUCGAGGUAGGCGGAAUAAGUUAAGUAGCGGUGAAAUGCUUAGAUAUAACUUAGAACUCCAAUUGCGAAGGCAGCUUACCAGCCUGUAACUGACGCUGAUGCACGAUAGCG
rnacentral:rRNA from 1 species